GUUCCGAGAGAUGCUUUCGAAUCUGCAAAAGCGCAUUAUUUCAACCGUUGAACCGGCAGACAAUAGACGUAUCGUACUUUUUCCUCUUGCAGGAAGCAAUGCAUUGCUUGUGUUACAUCAGUCGCAUGGAUUGAAUUGUGGCGAUUUAUCGCAAUUGAAACACCGAGUACUUACUGAAAAGUUUCCAUACACGGACUACGUCCAACUGGAAGUAAUCCAACAAUCCGUACCAAUGGAACAAAUGGACACAAAGGACAGGCAGUGCUCGGCCGCCGGCCACGGUCUCCAACGUAAAAGCGUUGAAGCCCCACAGGCCAACUCGGUCCAAAAUUCGCUGCAAUUUCCACAAACAAAACAUCAGGAAAAUCCUUAAUUAAACAUUAAUUUAUUAAAAAUAGUAGACAGACGUGCGUGGUCUUCAUAUAAACUCGUUGAAAACAACACAAGUACCCACAGGGAGAAUUAAAAGUAUGGAAAUAAGAGCUGUUGUCUUAACUAUUCAUAUUCUAAAGUAACUCAUUGGUGGACUUUAAAGUACAAAAAAAUGUUAACGUUAGAUUGAAAAAUUAAAAUAAUAAAAUUUAUUACACUUUUCUUGAAUGAAACAAAUUUUUAGUUUAGUUCGUUAAGACCUUCCUUUAGCUCCUUCAAAAGUACAAUACAUUCAGAGCUUUUCUUCGUGGUUUCUCUGUGCUUCAAAGUAGAAGCUUUGGGACUUUUUAUCUAUGUAUAAGUUUGACUAUUGUUGUUAUAAUAAAGGGCUUUAUUUUUCGGUCCUUGUCUUAUUGAUAUUGUGAGUUAUUUUUAAUGAUUUCAUGCUAACUAUUAAAAAAAUGUUUUAUAAUGUUU